rfam:Chelonia mydas contig150619, whole genome shotgun sequence.
AUAAUUUUUUAAAAUUAGCUUUAAGAAAAAUUUUAAAUCUGUUCUUAUCAGUUUAAUAUUUGAUAUGUUCUCUAUUUGAGAACUGUAUAUUAAAUGGAUUUUUGAAACAGGGAGCUGGAUUAGGGGUUUACUCCAUCCAUCCCAUGCAUCAACCUGGGGUAUUGCAGUGUUUCCAGGAGUGAUGUACUUUCC